UGCAGAAUCCCGUGAACCAUCGAGUCUUUGAACGCAAGUUGCGCCCGAAGCCGUUAGGCCGAGGGCACGCCUGCCUGGGCGUCACACGUCGUUGCCCCGCCCCGACACGUCCUCUCGUAAAAGGGAGGCGGGUCUGGACGGGACGGAUGAUGGCCUCCCGUGUGCCCCGUCACGCGGCCGGUAUAAAAACAGAGUCCUCGGCGGCCAACGCCUCGACGAUCGGUGGUUGUCCAGACCUCGGUUUCCCGUCGUGCGCGGGCGUCGUCCGUGGGGCUUUCCCGAUGCGCGUCGGUUCCGACGCUCCCAACGCGACCCCAGGUCAGGCGGGGUCACCCGCUGAAUUUAAGCAUAUCAAUAAGCGGAGGAAAAGAAACUUACGAGGAUUCCCUUAGUAACGGCGAGCGAACCGGGAACAGCCCAGCUGAGA
rnacentral:rRNA from 1 species